rnacentral:rRNA from 1 species
CGCCUUGCCAGCCCGCUCAGAAACUUAAAGGAAUUGACGGGGGCCCGCACAAGCGGUGGAGUAUGUGGUUUAAUUCGAUGCAACGCGAAGAACCUUACCUGGUCUUGACAUCCCGGAGACCCUUAGGAAACUAGGGGGUGCUUCCAUCUGGAAGAAUCUGGAGACAGGUGCUGCAUGGCUGUCGUCAGCUCGUGUCGUGAGAUGUUGGGUUAAGUCCCGCAACGAGCGCAACCCUUGCCUUUAGUUGCCAGCAGUUCGGCUGGGCACUCUAAAGGGACUGCCGGUGUUAAACCGGAGGAAGGUGGGGAUGACGUCAAGUCCUCAUGGCCUUUAUGACCAGGGCUACACACGUACUACAAUGGCCGAUACAAAGGGCAGCGACACUGCGAGGUGAAGCCAAUACCCGUAAAAUCGGUCUCAGUCCGGAUUGGAGUCUGCAACUCGACUCCAUGAAGUUGGAAUCGCUAGUAAUCGUGGAUCAGCAUGCCACGGUGAAUACGUUCCCGGGCCUU